CAUGGUUAAGUGGGAAACGAUGUGGGAAGGCCCAGACAGCCAGGAUGUUGGCUUAGAAGCAGCCAUCAUUUAAAGAAAGCGUAAUAGCUCACUGGUCGAGUCGGCCUGCGCGGAAGAUGUAACGGGGCUAAACCAUGCACCGAAGCUGCGGCAGCGACACUAUGUGUUGUUGGGUAGGGGAGCGUUCUGUAAGCCUGCGAAGGUGUGCUGUGAGGCAUGCUGGAGGUAUCAGAAGUGCGAAUGCUGACAUAAGUAACGAUAAAGCGGGUGAAAAGCCCGCUCGCCGGAAGACCAAGGGUUCCUGUCCAACGUUAAUCGGGGCAGGGUGAGUCGACCCCUAAGGCGAGGCCGAAAGGCGUAGUCGAUGGGAAACAGGUUAAUAUUCCUGUACUUGGUGUUACUGCGAAGGGGGGACGGAGAAGGCUAUGUCGGCCGGGCGACGGUUGUCCCGGUUUAAGCGUGUAGGCUGACUUUCCAGGCAAAUCCGGAAAGUUAAGGCUGAGGCGUGAUGACGAGGCACCACGGUGCUGAAGUGACAAAUGCCCUGCUUCCAGGAAAAGCCUCUAAGCAUCAGGUAACAUCAAAUCGUACCCCAAACCGACACAGGUGGUCAGGUAGAGAAUACCAAGGCGCUUGAGAGAACUCGGGUGAAGGAACUAGGCAAAAUGGUGCCGUAACUUCGGGAGAAGGCACGCUGACAUGUAGGUGAAGCCCCUGCGGGUGGAGCUGAAGUCAGUCGAAGAUACCAGCUGGCUGCAACUGUUUAUUAAAAACACAGCACUGUGCAAACACGAAAGUGGACGUAUACGGUGUGACGCCUGCCCGGUGCCGGAAGGUUAAUUGAUGGGGUUAUCGCAAGAGAAGCUCCUGAUCGAAGCCCCGGUAAACGGCGGCCGUAACUAUAACGGUCCUAAGGUAGCGAAAUUCCUUGUCGGGUAAGUUCCGACCUGCACGAAUGGCGUAAUGAUGGCCAGGCUGUCUCCACCCGAGACUCAGUGAAAUUGAACUCGCUGUGAAGAUGCAGUGUACCCGCGGCAAGACGGAAAGACCCCGUGAACCUUUACUACAGCUUGACACUGAACAUUGAGCCUUGAUGUGUAGGAUAGGUGGGAGGCUUUGAAGCGUGGACGCCAGUCUGCGUGGAGCCAACCUUGAAAUACCACCCUUUAAUGUUUGAUGUUCUAACCUGGCGCCAUAAUCUGGCGUGGGGACAGUGUCUGGUGGGUAGUUUGACUGGGGCGGUCUCCUCCCAAAGUGUAACGGAGGAGCACGAAGGUCAGCUAAUCCUGGUCGGACAUCAGGAGGUUAGUGCAAUGGCAUAAGCUGGCUUGACUGCGAGAGUGACGGCUCGAGCAGGUGCGAAAGCAGGUCAUAGUGAUCCGGUGGUUCUGUAUGGAAGGGCCAUCGCUCAACGGAUAAAAGGUACUCCGGGGAUAACAGGCUGAUACCGCCCAAGAGUUCAUAUCGACGGCGGUGUUUGGCACCUCGAUGUCGGCUCAUCACAUCCUGGGGCUGAAGUAGGUCCCAAGGGUAUGGCUGUUCGCCAUUUAAAGUGGUACGCGAGCUGGGUUUAGAACGUCGUGAGACAGUUCGGUCCCUAUCUGCCGUGGGCGCUGGAGAAUUGAGGGGGGCUGCUCCCAGUACGAGAGGACCGGAGUGGACGCAUCACUGGUGUUCGGGUUGUCAUGCCAAUGGCACUGCCCGGUAGCUAAAUGCGGAAGAGAUAAGUGCUGAAAGCAUCUAAGCACGAAACUUGCCCCAAGAUGAGUUCUCCCUGAGACUGUAAGUCUCCUGAAGGAACGUUGAAGACGACGACGUUGAUAGGCCGGGUGUGUAAGCGCAGCGAUGCGUUGAGCUAACCGGUACUAAUGAACCGUGAGGCUUAACCUU
rnacentral:rRNA from 1 species